rnacentral:rRNA from 1 species
UACGUAGGGUGCAAGCGUUAAUCGGAAUUACUGGGCGUAAAGCGUGCGCAGGCGGCGCGUUAAGACAGGUGUGAAAGCCCCGAGCUUAACUUGGGAAUUGCGCUUGUGACUGGCGUGCUGGAGUGUGGCAGAGGGAGGUGGAAUUCCACGUGUAGCAGUGAAAUGCGUAGAUAUCAGGAGGAACACCUGUGGCGAAAGCGGCGCACUGGACCACAACUGACGCUGAGGCGCGAAAGCUAGGGGAGCAAACAGG